rnacentral:rRNA from 1 species
UACGAAGGGGGCUAGCGUUGUUCGGAAUCACUGGGCGUAAAGCGCACGCAGGCGGUUUGUUAAGUCUGUUGUGAAAUCCCCGAGCUCAACUUGGGAAUUGCAAUGGAUACUGGCAGGCUGGAGUAUGGUAGAGGAAGGUGGAAUUCCCGGUGUAGCAGUGAAAUGCGUAGAGAUCGGGAGGAACACCAGUGGCGAAGGCGGCCUUCUGGACCAAUACUGACGCUCAUGCACGAAAGCGUGGGGAGCAAACAGG